GGGCUCGUGGUCUACUCCGGUAUGACGCCGCCUUCGCAAGGCGGAGACUCCGGGUUCAAAUCCCGGCGAGUCCA
rfam:Candidatus Woesearchaeota archaeon CG1_02_57_44 cg1_0.2_scaffold_1442_c, whole genome shotgun sequence.